rnacentral:rRNA from 1 species
AUUGAACGCUGGCGGCAGGCCUAACACAUGCAAGUCGAGCGAGCGGCGGACGGGUGAGUACUGCCUGGCAAUUGCCCAGUCUAGGGGGAUAACAGUUGGAAACGACUGCUAAUACCGCAUACGAUUGGAUUGCCCAGGUGUGAUUAGCUAGUUGGUGAGGUAAUGGCACACCAAGGCGGCUAUCCCGAGCUGGUCUGAGAGGAUGAUCAGCCACACUGGAACGGAGACACGGUCCAGACUCAUACGGGAGGAAGCAGUGGGGAAUAUUGCACAAUGGGGGAAACCCUGAUGCAGCCAUGCCGCGGGUGUGAAGAAGGCCUUCGGGUUGUAAAGCACUUUCAGUGAGGAGGCGUUACUAGCAGAAGAAGCACCGGCUAACUCCGUGCCAGCAGCCGCGGUAAUUC